UACAGAGGGUGCAAGCGUUAAUCGGAAUUACUGGGCGUAAAGCGCACGUAGGUGGUUUGAUAAGUUGAGUGUGAAAGCCCUGGGCUUAACCUAGGAACUGCAUUCAAUACUGUCAAGCUUGAGUAGAGUAGAGGGAAGUGGAAUUUCCGGUGUAGCGGUGAAAUGCGUAGAUAUCGGAAAGAACAUCAGUGGCGAAGGCGGCUUCCUGGACUCAUACUGACACUGAGGUGCGAAAGCGUGGGUAGCAAACAGG
rnacentral:rRNA from 1 species